rnacentral:rRNA from 1 species
CAGUAGCCGCGGUAAUACGUAGGUGGCAAGCGUUGUCCGGAAUUAUUGGGCGUAAAGGGCUCGCAGGCGGUUUCUUAAGUCUGAUGUGAAAGCCCCCGGCUCAACCGGGGAGGGUCCUUGGAAACUGGAAAACUUGAGUGCAGAAGAGGAGAGUGGAAUUCCACGUGUAGCGGUGAAAUGCGUAGAGAUGUGGAGGAACACCAGUGGCGAAGGCGACUCUCUGGUCUGUAACUGACGCUGAGGAGCGAAAGCGUGGGGAGCGAACAGGAUUAGAUACCCCGGUAGUCCCUGUCUCUUAUAC